rnacentral:rRNA from 1 species
UACGGAGGGCGCAAGCGUUGUUCGGAAUCACUGGGCGUAAAGCGCGUGUAGGCGGCCGGGCAAGUCGGUUGUGAAAUCCCGAGGCUCAACCUCGGAACUGCAUUCGAAACUGCUCGGCUAGAGUCCCGGAGAGGAUGGCAGAAUUCCCGGUGUAGGGGUGAAAUCCGUAGAUAUCGGGAGGAAUACCAGUGGCGAAGGCGGCCAUCUGGACGGUGACUGACGCUGAGGCGCGAAAGCCAGGGGAGCGAACGGG